GCGGCCUAUCAGCUUGUUGGUGGGGUAAUGGCCUACCAAGGCAACGACGGGUAGCUGGUCUGAGAGGAUGAUCAGCCACACUGGGACUGAGACACGGCCCAGACUCCUACGGGAGGCAGCAGUGGGGAAUCUUGCGCAAUGGGCGAAAGCCUGACGCAGCAACGCCGCGUGCGGGAUGAAGGCCUUCGGGUUGUAAACCGCUUUCAGCAGGAACGAAAAUGACGGUACCUGCAGAAGAAGGAGCGGCCAACUACGUGCCAGCAGCCGCGGUGACACGUAGGCUCCAAGCGUUGUCCGGAUUUAUUGGGCGUAAAGAGCUCGUAGGCGGUUUAGUAAGUCGGGUGUUAAAACUCUGGGCUCAACCCGGAGACGCCAUCCGAUACUACUAUGACUUGAGUUCAGGAGGGGAGACUGGAAUUCCU
rnacentral:rRNA from 1 species